rnacentral:rRNA from 1 species
AAUUGCUAGUAAUCGUGGAUCAGCAUGCCACGGUGAAUACGUUCCCGGGUCUUGUACACACCGCCCGUCACACCAUGGGAGUCGGUAACACCCGAAGUCAGUAGUCUAACCGCAAGGAGGACGCUGCCGAAGGUGGGAUUGACGACUGGGGUGAAGUCGUAACAAGGUACC